GGAAGGAUCAUUAACACUUGGGUGCCUUUUGGCUAUGACAUUAUGGGGAGGGUUGAGUGAUAUUAUUUUUAUUAAUAUGACCUGGAAUGUACACGACGCGACGGCUUACGUUGGAUAUUAUAUCAUCAAAACAACACCAAUAAUAAUAAUGAUACAACUCUUAGCAAUGGAUAUCUUGGUUCCCACAACGAUGAAGAACGCAGCGAAAUGCGAUACGUAAUGCGAAUUGCAGAAUUCAGUGAAUCAUCAAAUCUUUGAACGCAUGUUGCGGUGUGGGGUUCGUCCUUACACCAUGCCUGUCUGAGUGUCGGUUUCCUUUUUACCUGUCCUCCCGCAAGGGAACACACGCGACGACGGUGUUGUUGAGCUUAGGUGUUGGUAUUCUAUUUCUUCAUAUAAGUAUUCCGAAUACACGCACACACCUUGGCUUCAAGUCAUAGUUUUUGUCGUGUGUUGUGUACGCCACCGCACCACGUGUUCUGGGAACGAAUACACAUGGCAUGGGCGCGCACAGACACACACGCAUUCCUUUGAGAAAGACCUCAGAUCAGGUAAGACUACCCGCCGAAUUUAAGCAUAUAAUUAAGCGGAGGAAAAGAAACUAACUAGGAUCCCCUUAGUAACGGCGAGUGAAGCGGGGUGAGCUCAAACCGAAAAUCAGUGCCGCCAGGCACUGAGUUGUGGUCUAUGGAGACGUGUUCAGCUUGCGGCGUCGGCCUAAGUUCACUGGAGCGUGGCAUCGGAGAGGGUGAGAAUCCCGUCUUUGGCUGAUGGUCCGCGGCGUACGAACCGCUCUCUAAGAGUCGGGUUGCUUGGGAGUGCAGCCCUAAGCGGGUGGUAAAUUUCAUCCAAAGCUAAAUACAUGUGGGAGACCGAUAGCGAACAAGUACCGUGAGGGAAAGAUGAAAAGAACUUUGAAAAGAGAGUCAAAAGUACUUGAAAUUGCUGGGAUCGAAGGGAUGUCAACUAGUCAUGGCAAGGUGAUUUUACUGAGGUGGUCUGCGGAGGGACAUGCGGACUCCGGAUUGCUGCAAGGCUUCCGAUUCGCUGUUUCAGUCCCGCGUCCCCGAGGGUCCUGUCACGUUGCCCCAAGUCAGGAUGGAUUCGUGGGGAGCUAGAAAAACCCGCGGAAGGUAGCGAAUCGGGCGACCGCUUCGAACUUAUAGACGCGGGUCGAUGGCUCCCCGUCGGAUCGAGGAGCGAAAGUGUACGUCGUCCUUCGGGGCGGCGACGCGCGCCAGAGCUGGUGGCCAGCGACGAGACCUGGGGAGCAGUGCUCCGUUUGCCUCGGGCGCAGUCAGUCUGCUCAAGUGGCGCAGCGAGGUGCACUCGUGAUCCUGACGAAAUGGUUGUCAUUCACCCGUCUUGAAACACGGACCAAGGAGUCUUACAUAUAUGCGAGUAAUCAGGCCGAAAACUUGGAUGCGAAAUGAAGGUGACUUUUGGGUGUGAGACGCUGGCAGUGAUGCCGGCGUUGCAACACAGGGCGGCUAACAUACUUGUACGACCCGGAGCAUAUCUGUAGGGACCCGAAAGAUGGUGAACUAUGCUUGAGCAAGAUGAAGCCAGGGGAAACUCUGGUGGAAGUCUGAAGCGAUACUGACGUGCAAAUCGUUCGUCUGACUUGAGUAUAGGGGCGAAAGACUAAUCGAACCAUCUAGUAGCUGGUUCCCUC
rnacentral:misc_RNA from 1 species